UAGAAAAAGACCCAAAAAUUGUAAAAGCCCAAAACUCAAAAGUCCAAAACUCAAAAGCUUUUUCCCUAAAUCCCUAAAAUUUAUUACCUCCCUCCCCUUUCCUCUUUGUCGAGUCGACUGUUCAAUGUCUCUACACCACCUACUCUACUACCUCAGCGUUUAGUAUCCCCUGCUGUGUCGACCCUCUUGAGUCUCGCUCUCUGCCUACCGUGUGCCGGCUGCCGAGUCGCCGACCCUCUGGCCUCUCGCUCUCUGCAUCCCUCCCCAGUCCCAUCUCGCCCAAAUCCCUCCACUCUCGCUCUCGCUCACGCUCAUAACCUCAUCCCUCACGGCCUCCCCUCUCGCUCAUCCCACUCCACAGUCCACUCCAUAAAACAGGCCCUCUCCACUCCAUCCUCCGUUGAAGUAUGCCUCAGUUGAGAAGUUCGUCCGACGGCGUUUCAGGUGAAGAUCUAACUUUUGUGUUUGGCCGUUUGAUAAUGAGUCUUUAUUUUUAUACAUAUUUGAUUGUUCUGAGAAAAUAUGUAUGUUUGUGUAUGUUUUGAUAUUUGAAAUGUUUUGAAUUUUAGGCUUAAUAUGUUUGGAAAAUAUGUUUGUGUAUGUUGAAAUUUGAAUGUUGUUUUAUGGUAGGUUGAAAAUUUAAAUUAAAUUUUUGGUAGGUUGAAAACAAUGUCGUCACCACCUUCUACAAAUAAAGAUUCUUCAAAUCUAAUUCCAAGUUCAAUCCCAGAUCCAACCCCAAAUUUUAACUUCAUGCUCAUCGAAUGAUGAUAAUUUGAAUGUUGAUAAUUGUGUUGUUCUUGAUGAGGAUAUUGAGAAGGGAUCUUUAAAGAGGAGAUUGACAUCGGUUGUUUGGAACCAUUUUAAGAAACAAAAAAUAGAUGGAGUAGACAGGGCGAUUUGUAAUUACUGCAAACGAAAAUUAGGUGAAAGUAAAAAUGGAAUCAAAUAUUUGCAUGAUCAUAUUUAAGAUAUGCCCAUAUAAAGGACAAAAGGACAUACGACAAUCCUAUUGAAUCCUAAUAGAGAGAAGAACAAUACAUUGAGCUUAUAUAACUUCGAUCAAGAAGCUGCAAAAAAAGCAUUAGCUAGGAUGAUAUAAAACAUGAAUAUCCUCUCUCAAUAAGUUGAGCAUGAAGGUUUUAGGGAAUUUUGUAAUGUCAUCCAACUAUUAUUUAAGAUGUGUCAAGAAACACCAAUAAAGAAGGAGAUUUUGAAAAUUUAUGAGACUGGAAAGUUGAAAAACAUGGCAUUUUUUGAAUGAGAUCAAAGGAAACAUUGCCCUGACAACAGACAUGUGGACUUCCAACCACCAAACAGAAGGUUAUAUGGUCGUCACUGCUCAUUUUUGUCGAUGAUAGUUGGGUUUUGCAAAACAAAAUAAUUAGGUUUAUAUAUGUUCCUUCUCCACACACUUCUGAGAUGUUUCAUGAAGAAAUAAUGGAAUGUUUGUUAGAUUGGAAUAUUGAUCGAAAAUUGUCAUCAGUAACUGUAGAUAAUUGUAGUACUAAUGACUCUAUGGUUAAUAUGCUUAUUGAUAGUUUGGGUGGAAACUUAAUAUUGGAUGGGAGUUUGUUUCAUAUGCGGUGUUGUGCUCAUAUUCUGAACUUGAUUGUGAAAGAUGGGUUGACAGUGAUAGGAGAUGAGAUCGAAAGAUUACGUAGUAGUGUGUCUUUUUGGGUGCAUACACAAAAAAAAGAAAGAGAAAUUUGAGGAAACUGCUCGACAGUUGAAUGUUUAUGAUGGUUAGAUGUUGAGUCUUGAUUGUUGUACUAGGUGGAAUUCUACCUAUUUUAUGUUAGUCACCGCAUUAAAGUACAAAGCGAUUUUUUAUUGAUUAGAACAACGAGAACCAAAGUACAAGUGUUUGCCUUUGGAUUAAGAUUGGGUAUUAGCAAAAGAGAUAUGUGAGAAACUGAAAAUAUUUCAUCACGUGACUGAAAUAUUUUCUGGAUCCAAAUAUCCUACCGUUAAUCUUUUUUCCUAAAAUUUUGUAAAUUGAAAUUGGCUAUUUCUGAGUGGACUAAUUCUGUCAUUCAAGAGAUCAGAGACAUGGCUUCAAAUAUGAUGUCAAAGUUUGAUAAGUAUUGGAAGACAAUUCAUGAGGUAAUGGCUAUAGCUGUAGUUUUAGAUCCACGUUAUAAAUUAAAGUUGACUGAGUUUUACUUCCCUAGAAUUUAUGGAGAUGGUUUUUUUCUUGAAGUGGAAAGGAUUAAAAAAAUUUGUUCAGAUUUGGAAACAGAAUAUCAGUGCAUGAAGGUGAAAGUGGUGAUUAUGCUAGAAAUUUAGAUGGAACCUCACAGAAUAUCGAAUUUGAUGAUUUUAAUGAUUAUGACUUGUUUGUAUCAAAUUCCAAUAAUAUGAAUCAGAAGCAACAGUUUAAUGCAUAUUUGGAUGAAUCUAUCUUACCUCGAGCAUCCGAUUUUGACAUUUUGAGUUGGUGGAAAUUGAAUGGUGUCAAGUAUCCAAUUUUACAAGAAAUUGCAAGAGACAUAUUAACUAUCCCGUUAUCUAGUGUUGCAUUAGAGUUGCUUUUAGUACAUGUGGUAGGAUUGUAAGCCCACAUCGUAACAAACUUCAUCCAAAGACGAUAGAGGCUUUGAUGUGCGCUCAAAAUUGGAUUACAAUUUUGACAGGUACAAGCACGGGAAAAGAAAUGGUUGCACAUUUAGCAACUGUUCUAGAAGAUGCAGACAAUUGAUGGCGUGGUGACUAAGGAAUGAAUACAACUAAGGAUGAGAUGAUGCCAAGAAAGGUGAUGGUGAAAGAUUUUAUUGUGAAGUUGUUGAAGAGAGAAGGACGAGUUUUAUUGAAAGAUUUGAUGGUGAAAUACUUAUUUGAAUGUAUAAGACGAUUGCC